rnacentral:rRNA from 1 species
UACAGAGGGUGCGAGCGUUAAUCGGAAUUACUGGGCGUAAAGGGCGCGUAGGUGGUUGUUUAAGUUAGAUGUGAAAUCCCUGGGCUUAACCUAGGAACGGCAUUUAAUACUGAAUGACUGGAGUAUUGUAGAGGGUAGUGGAAUUUCCGGUGUAGCGGUGAAAUGCGUAGAGAUCGGAAGGAACAUCGGUGGCGAAGGCGGCUACCUGGACAAAUACUGACACUGAGGCGCGAGAGCGUGGGGAGCAAACAGG